GCAGGGCCAGGCUAGGAAAAAUCUCUCAACAAACCUGACACUACUCACUCUGAUCAUAUCAUCUGUCUCUCCCUGUCACAGUCACCCCUAGCAUAUCUCUCGCUCCGUUCGAAAUAAAAACAAAUUUUCUUUUUAAUUUGCCGUCACUUUGACCGGCCGAACCAAACACAAAAAACAACAGAAACUCUCUAUCUCCGGCGAAACGACAACAGGAACAAGAACAGCAACAAAAAACAGUUUUGACUUCUAUUAAUCUCCUGAGUAUCUCAGAUUCUCUCUUCCCUGCCCCCGCCCGCCCGCCCCGACAUCGUUGUCAGUUCUUAUAAGAUUCAAACGUAAGAAGCGAGAAAGAAAGCCUUGUUCGGGAUUGAUGCGGCAAUAAAACCUUUUCUUUAUUUUUUCUCGGAAAAAAAGACGUUAGUGUUUGGCUACCCGGAACAAAAAAUCGGAAUAAAAAAAGUGAUAGGCCUUGAAAAGAGGCACUGUUCAUUCUGAAUCAGAAAGAAAAGAAGGGGUUCGCUUUUUUUUUUUGAAGCUGAUAAAAAGGAUUUCACUGCCAUUAAAUAUGCUCCUUGCAGAGAGUGAACGUGUUUUUUUUGCAAUGGAGCCAUGAGCCACGAGCCUGAUUCAAGACCUGUUGAAUAUAAUGACAAUGCUCUGGAUUUCAUUGGACUCAAGUCUGGAAAUGGGUCUGUGAAGGAAAUUGAGAAUGGAAAGUUGAGUGAUUUGGAGGGCAUGGAAGGUGAUGCAGAUCGAUUACCAAAUGUAGCACCAGUACCAUCUCCUCAUUCUUCACUGAAAAUGGAACCAUUCGAGGAGUCGGUUUUCUAUAUGGACAAGAGUGUUAUGGUACGUGAGGUGCCAGAGUUAAUAGUUUGUUACAAAGAGAAUACAUACCAUGUCAAGGACAUCCGUGUUGAUGAGGGAGUUCCUUUGCAGGACAAGUUCUUGUUUGACACAGAUGCACACAAGAAGAAUAUGUGUGAAUUCUUACCUUCUGAAAGGGAUAUGAACAAUGAGAUGAUCAAAGAAAAGUCUGACCUUGAUAUGCUGAUUCCAGAAAUGCUGAAAUCUCCAUCAGAAAAGCAAAAUGUGGAUCUUCAUUUGCCUGUUCCGGAUGUGCUUAUAUCUUCCGAAGAAAAGGGUUUGAAACAUGAUCUGUCCCUUGAUUGUGAUCCCAAACAUUUAAUGCCGACAGAGGAAGUAAUGGAUUAUGGGACAAAGAAGGUUACAGAUGAUGCUUCCAAAGAGAUUUUAUCACUGAGAGAUCUGCUUUCGAUGUCAGAAUUAGGUGCCAAGUCUACCCCAGCCAAUGCUUCCUAUCACAACAACAUGGAUAAAGUUGAACAACAAUCUCUUCUGUGCCCGAGGGAAAAUGCAAUAUUGGAGACAGAUUCUGCCAGUGAAGAAUCUGAAAAUUGCAGCGAGGAAACAAUCUCGGACAUUGGCCUUGAGUCAGCAACCCUGGCAAUCCCUACCCAAGAUCCUGCAUAUCAAGAAUCAGACCAUGGCCACACGGAAGCAGUCUUGGUGAGUCCCACUCUUACUUCUGCAGCAGAAGUAUCGGAUAGCAAGGAAACAAAAUUGGCAAGCCAUGCUUUGGAUUCUUUUUCUGAAGAAUCGACCAGUAGGAUCGAGGAUGAGUUACCUUACAAUAGCAAGACAGAGACACGAAGCAUCAGUUUUGACAAUGACUCUUCUGUUCAUGCUGCAAGUGUGAGAGAGUCUCCUCGGAAUGGUGAAUCUCAGCGUCUUGGGACUCGAAUCGUGCCCAGGUUUGAAGAACCUAAUGCUGAACCGCUUUCAGGUGGUCAACUUCAAUAUGCUGAUGGAGAGUCAAGUUUCUCUUCAUCGGGUCUUUUAUUUGGCCUGACAAGUCACUCGGGUCCUAUUGCAUAUUCUGGUAGUGUCUCUCUUAGAUCGGAUAGCAGCACAACCAGCACCCGCUCUUUUGCCUUCCCCAUAUUACAGUCAGAAUGGAAUAGCAGUCCUGCGAGAAUGGCAAAAGCUGACCGAAGACAUUUCCAGAAACCUAGGAAGUGGAUGCAGGGCCUUCUUUGCUGUAGAUUCUGAAUUCCUCUGUUUUGUCCAUAGAUUGAAGUGAAAAGAUACAUAUAUAUAUAUAUAUAUAUAUAGACACACACACACCAUUGAAAUUUUUAUUUUAUGGUUUAGUUAGUAGUACAGACAUGCAUCUCUCUCUUUCCUCCUCUGGCUUGGGGUGUGCUUGAAGCAGUUCUAUAUUAUCAGAAGUUCCGAGUUUGGGUUCCCUAUUGCAGAUAGAUUGACAGGUGGGACUCGAAUAGGAGUUCUCGUCCCUCUUGCUUCUACAUUGGUGAGAUUUAAGAUCCAAGUUUCACCUUUUUCGCACAUGACCAUUAUGGUUUCCUAUAAAAUGGCCCGCAAUAAGUACUCUGUGAGGAUCCUUAAA